GACGAACGCUGGCGGCGUGCUUAACACAUGCAAGUCGAACGGAAAGGCCCUGCUUUUGUGGGGUGCUCGAGUGGCGAACGGGUGAGUAACACGUGAGUAACCUGCCCUUGACUUUGGGAUAACUUCAGGAAACUGGGGCUAAUACCGGAUAGGAGCUCCUGCUGCAUGGUGGGGGUUGGAAAGUUUCGGCGGUUGGGGAUGGACUCGCGGCUUAUCAGCUUGUUGGUGGGGUAGUGGCUUACCAAGGCUUUGACGGGUAGCCGGCCUGAGAGGGUGACCGGCCACAUGGGGACUGAGAUACGGCCAAGACUCAUACGGGAGGCAGCAGUGGGGAAUAUUGCACAAUGGGCGGAAGCCUGAUGCAGCAACGCCGCGUGCGGGAUGACGGCCUUCGGGUUGUAAACCGCUUUCGCCUGUGACGAAGCGUGAGUGACGGUAAUGGGUAAAGAAGCACCGGCUAACUACGU
rnacentral:rRNA from 1 species